rnacentral:rRNA from 1 species
AGCGGAAAUGAUGAAGAAGCUUGCUUCUUUCGAUUUUAGCGGCGGACGGGUGAGUAACACGUGGGCAACCUACCUUGUAGAUUGGGAUAACUCCGGGAAACCGGGGCUAAUACCGAAUAAUCCAUUUUGCUUCAUGGCAAGAUGUUGAAAGGCGGCUUCGGCUGUCACUACGAGAUGGGCCCGCGGCGUAUUAGCUAGUUGGUAGGGUAAUGGCCUACCAAGGCGACGAUACGUAGCCGACCUGAGAGGGUGAUCGGCCACACUGGGACUGAGACACGGCCCAGACUCCUACGGGAGGCAGCAGUAGGGAAUCUUCCACAAUGGACGAAAGUCUGAUGGAGCAACGCCGCGUGAGUGAAGAAGGUUUUCGGAUCGUAAAACUCUGUUGUAAGGGAAGAACACGUACGAGAGUAACUGCUCGUACCUUGACGGUACCUUAUUAGAAAGCCACGGCUAACUACGUGCCAGCAGCCGCGGUAAUACGUAGGUGGCAAGCGUUGUCCGGAAUUAUUGGGCGUAAAGCGCGCGCAGGCGGUUCUUUAAGUCUGAUGUGAAAGCCCAC